GAUGAACGCUGGCGGCGUGCCUAAUACAUGCAAGUCGAGCGAACGGACGAGAAGCUUGCUUCUCUGAUGUUAGCGGCGGACGGGUGAGUAACACGUGGAUAACCUACCUAUAAGACUGGGAUAACUUCGGGAAACCGGAGCUAAUACCGGAUAAUAUUUUGAACCGCAUGGUUCAAAAGUGAAAGACGGUCUUGCUGUCACUUAUAGAUGGAUCCGCGCUGCAUUAGCUAGUUGGUAAGGUAACGGCUUACCAAGGCAACGAUGCAUAGCCGACCUGAGAGGGUGAUCGGCCACACUGGAACUGAGACACGGUCCAGACUCCUACGGGAGGCAGCAGUAGGGAAUCUUCCGCAAUGGGCGAAAGCCUGACGGAGCAACGCCGCGUGAGUGAUGAAGGUCUUCGGAUCGUAAAACUCUGUUAUUAGGGAAGAACAUAUGUGUAAGUAACUGUGCACAUCUUGACGGUACCUAAUCAGAAAGCCACGGCUAACUACGUGCCAGCAGCCGCGGUAAUACGUAGGUGGCAAGCGUUAUCCGGAAUUAUUGGGCGUAAAGCGCGCGUAGGCGGUUUUUUAAGUCUGAUGUGAAAGCCCACGGCUCAACCGUGGAGGGUCAUUGGAAACUGGAAAACUUGAGUGCAGAAGAGGAAAGUGGAAUUCCAUGUGUGGCGGUGAAAUGCGCAGAGAUAUGGAGGAACACCAGUGGCGAAGGCGACUUUCUGGUCUGUAACUGACGCUGAUGUGCGAAAGCGUGGGGAUCAAACAGGAUUAGAUACCCUGGUAGUCCACGCCGUAAACGAUGAGUGCUAAGUGUUAGGGGGUUUCCGCCCCUUAGUGCUGCAGCUAACGCAUUAAGCACUCCGCCUGGGGAGUACGACCGCAAGGUUGAAACUCAAAGGAAUUGACGGGGACCCGCACAAGCGGUGGAGCAUGUGGUUUAAUUCGAAGCAACGCGAAGAACCUUACCAAAUCUUGACAUCCUUUGACAACUCUAGAGAUAGAGCCUUCCCCUUCGGGGGACAAAGUGACAGGUGGUGCAUGGUUGUCGUCAGCUCGUGUCGUGAGAUGUUGGGUUAAGUCCCGCAACGAGCGCAACCCUUAAGCUUAGUUGCCAUCAUUAAGUUGGGCACUCUAAGUUGACUGCCGGUGACAAACCGGAGGAAGGUGGGGAUGACGUCAAAUCAUCAUGCCCCUUAUGAUUUGGGCUACACACGUGCUACAAUGGACAAUACAAAGGGCAGCGAAACCGCGAGGUCAAGCAAAUCCCAUAAAGUUGUUCUCAGUUCGGAUUGUAGUCUGCAACUCGACUACAUGAAGCUGGAAUCGCUAGUAAUCGUAGAUCAGCAUGCUACGGUGAAUACGUUCCCGGGUCU
rnacentral:rRNA from 1 species